GGUGCUCGGGGAUGUGGAGAGACUCGGGAAGGUGCGGAAAAGAGGGGCCUUGCGCUGGCCUGGCUGUUGAAGAGCCUCGCCCAGCCGGCCCCGGGUGCCCACGAUAGCCGAACCCAGGGUGGGGAUCCUGGUUAUCGUCAUCCCUCCUGCAGCCCCGAUGGGCGUUGAUUUCCUCUGUUACCAGAGAAAAACAACUGAGAGAUGGGAAAAAUGUAUUCCCUUGUGAUGGGAAAAAUGUAUUCAACUCCUGUACACUGUGCCAAAUUGACUUCUUUAAACACUGGAGAAACCUGCUUCCCCAAAUUUUACUCCCAGAAGAGGAUGCUUGCCCUUCUCAGUUGCUUGUCUGAAGUCUAGGAUCUUGUUUUAAUUUCCCAAGGACCCCCAUAAGGUCAUUCUAUGAGACUAACUAUCCCUAACCGUCCUGCAGAACAUGCUUUGGGGAAGUAUUAUUUUUUCUUUUUCAUAACAACUUUGGGG